rnacentral:rRNA from 1 species
UACAGAGGUCCCAAGCGUUGUUCGGAUUCACUGGGCGUAAAGGGUGCGUAGGCAGUCGGGUAAGUCUGAUGUGAAAUCUCACAGCUUAACUGUGAAACUGCAUUGGAUACUAUCCGGCUCGAGGAAUGGAGGGGAGACUGGAAUACUUGGUGUAGCAGUGAAAUGCGUAGAUAUCAAGUGGAACACCAGUGGCGAAGGCGAGUCUCUGGACAUUUCCUGACGCUGAGGCACGAAAGCCAGGGGAGCAAACGGG